AUGGCGAAACCUUCAAGGCACUUACUGGGUCAAGUUCAGCAAAUGCAAAAGCUCAGCUAAAACUGUGGGGUGAGAACUGCAGUUAACAUCACUGCUUAAGCAGAAAGGAAUUUUGUACUAGAGGGUUACACCUCUUCUUAUGUAGGGACAGCUCUCUUGGGAUGGUGCACAGAUGAUGGAAUGAACUUCCUCGGGAACUUGCAACUGACCACAGCAAAGCAUGCUCUUUUUGACUUUGCUCUCUCUAAGAUAAACACAUAUCAUUAUUAAAAAGUAGGAGCAGAAAAACCAUAGCAACAGGCUAACUAUAUAACUAAGCCAAAUCACCAUACUAAAACAUAACAUCUCCCCUGAAGAAGAAAUGGGUCCCACACGACAGAUUUCAGCCCCAUCAAAGGCACAAGGUGUUGACUUUUGUUAAUGGAUUGUAUAGCCACACUCUGUCAACACAUCAGUAUAACUCAUUGUUUCAAGAAAUGGACUGACUGAGACUUGGAGCCACAUUCAAGAGGCAUUUUAAUUCAAACCUCCAACUGCAUUUAAGAAACCAUAUCUAAAAGCUGCUAUCCAAGAGGCUGGAAUGUAAAGUAUGCAGGAAAUGUUAUCUUAUUGGCCUUGUGUCUGCCAGUGAUUGUGAAACGGCUUCAUUAUUCUGGGAAAAAAAACAACUACCAUUCCAGGCAAAGAGAGAUUCAUGUAAACUUGUUAAACCUUUAGGGAAAACAAAUAACAGAGCCUGGAGAAAGUCUUUUGUGCUCCAUAACAUGAAGAUAGUUUUGGUGUGAAAGACUGCCCUUUGUAAACACUUCCAAUAAUAAUUACACUUAUAAACAUAUAUGUUUAGUACUUCAUGUUGGAACCAUUUCUUCUUCAAACCAGGUAUUCUCAAUAUAGUCUAUAUUUACUGGAGAUGACAGACUAUUCACUCAGAAGUAUAUCACACAGGUGAGAGAGCAGAAUAGGACACUGAACCACAGUGGCCAUGUUUAUUUUGCAUUGUAGCCCCUGGAGGCAAAGCUGAGUGGUACCUACCCUUUGUGGUAGCUGUGUACUGUGAUACAAUCUCAUCUCUUGACUCAGCCCAGUCAAAAGGCAUGGAAGCUCUCAUCCAGCCUGUGGGCCUUACCAAGGAAAUAGUCUUACCAAGGACAUGAGCAUAGUCUUGCACACACAAAGACCUAGAAAUUCAGUUGUGGGUGUUCCUCAGGUCUUCAUUUCAGUUACUUCUCAAUGGCCCUGAAGGAUGGUGUAGUGGGUGCAUCUACCAGCAUACAUCAUGUGAUGUUUGUUUGGAGAUACUAGCUGUGGAAUUAGGAUUGAGGGUUACCAUACUUCUGCCUCAGAUCCCCCAGCAUCCUUUUUCACAACAGUGGUAGACUUCCUUUGCAGACACUGAAACAUAUAUUUAUUUUAUUACAAGUAUUUCCCUCUCAGGCCAGGUGUAAAGAGAAUAAGCAGUGAGAUUUUUUAGCUCAGAGACCUAAUGUAGGGCUUAAAUGAAAGAAACUUGUCUCUGGGAAUAAUUUUAAACAUCUUUUAAUAUUUACACAACCAAGUAAAAGUUAUAUUAUGCUGUGGAGCUAUUUCCAUUUCUGUGGUCUGAUCUUUUCAGCAGUGUUAGGAUUUAAUUUUGGAAGUUUCCCAGCUUUGCCUUGAAAAUCAUGUUGAGCUCCAUAUCAGCUACACAAUGUCAAUACACAAUGCAUUACGUAUAUGCUGGUUGCUGGCCAGCUGGCAUUUUAAAUGAGUAGUUCAGGGAAAAGCAAUUUUGGUGAGGGCUGACCACAGCUGGCUUCUCAUUAGACUAAAUUUUCAGGACUUAACACUGCCAAACCUUUAAAGUCUUAAAGACUUAUUUUAAACUUUCUCUGAUUGAACAACUUCAAAAAAUGAAAGCAGAAAAAAAAAAAAAUCAACAACAAAACAUGUAAACUCUCUGCAUAUAUAACUCUGUGCACUUUAUUUACUUAUUAAAUGUGUUUCUGUUAUGCUAAAUCUGAUUUUUGUGCAAUGGUUUGAAUGUCAUGCUUACUCUUGCCACAAAGUAAGCGUGGUAGCUGAAAUGCCUCCUUGAACAGAUGUGACCACUAAAUAAUGUAAAUAUUGCCAAAUGCUGCCUCUUGGAAGACCCUUGGAUAAAUAUAAAUCUGCAAAGAAUAAUGUGGCAAUACAGUAUUACUAAGCCUGUAAUACACUAAAAAUGGUCAGGAGUUGUCCGAAAGAAGAAGUGUUUGAGAAAUCAGAAGGUAGGGUCUUAUCAUCACUUUCUGCACAUAAGAAUUUCAAUUCCAAUUAUUCCAAAGUAUAUAGAAGUAAGAUUAUCAGUGAUUUAAAGCAUGGCUUUGCAGGAAAUGGUAAUUGAAAGGCAAUUAUAAAUUACUGUUUACCAGUAGGGAUCAUUCCUACCUUCAGCUUAGGAUAUUUUACUUAAUUCUUUAGGAAAAAAAAAAAAAAAAAAGGUCAUAGCCUAUUUGAAACUGGCUAGAAUAUGUCAAAUGGAGUAGUGUUUAUAAGGAGGUUAGGCUGUUCUAACUUUAAGAGUAUAUUCUUGUACUAUACAAAUCUCUCUGUAAGCAAUAAAAUACUGGAAGAAAA